CUGCCCGUAGCUCAGAUGGACAGAGCAGUUGAUUACGGAUCAACAGGUCGGGGGUUCGAAUCCUCCCGGGCAGG
rnacentral:tRNA from 1 species